GAUGAACGCUAGCGGCAGGCCUAAUACAUGCAAGUCGAACGGUGUCUUCGGACAUAGUGGCGCACGGGUGCGUAACACGUAUGCAACCUACCUUACAUUGGGGGAUAGCCUUUCGAACGGGAGAUUAAUACCGCAUAAGACAGUAGCUGGGCAUCCAGCAGCUGUUAAAGAUUUAUCGAUGUAAGCUGGGCAUGCGUCCAAUUGACGAGUUGGUGAGGUAACGGCUAACAAAGGCAAUGAUUGGUAGGGGAACUGAGAGGUCAAUCCCCCGCACUGGCACUGGGAUACGGGCCAGACUCCUGCGGGAGGCAGCAGUAGGUAAUAUUGGGCAAUGGACGCAAGUCUGACCCAGCCAUGCCGCGUGCAGGAUGAAGGCGUUAUGCGUUGUAAACUGCUUUUAUACAGGAAGAAACGACUCUUGCGAGAGGCAUUGACGGUACUGUAUGAAUAAGCACCGGCUAACUCCGUGCCAGCAGCCGCCGUAAAAC
rnacentral:rRNA from 1 species